rnacentral:miRNA from 7 species
AAAUUACUGAAAAGACGUGAUUUGGGAAAAUUACAGUUCCGUGCCUAGUAUAUAUUCUACAUGCCCUACAGCCUUCCCUAACCAGUAGCUCCCGAUUUCAUUUAAAUUGUAAUGAUUUCC